GACGUAGGGCGCGAGCGUUGUCCGGAUUUAUUGGGCGUAAAGAGCUCGUAGGCGGCUUGUCGCGUCGUCCGUGAAAACCCACAGCUCAACUGUGGGCUUGCGGUCGAUACGGGCGGGCUAGAGUUCGGUAGGGGAGACUGGAAUUCCUGGUGUAGCGGUGAAAUGCGCAGAUAUCAGGAGGAACACCGGUGGCGAAGGCGGGUCUCUGGGCCGAUACUGACGCUGAGGAGCGAAAGCAUGGGUAGCAAACAGG
rnacentral:rRNA from 1 species